CUCCAUAGCUUCUCCAAGGUUCUCUGAUAACCCUAAAGAGGACCAGCACCGUUCUAUUCCUACCAACACUUGUCUUGUGUUUUCUCCAUUCUGCUCUUACAGCUGGAAGGCCUGCCAGUCUCCUGGGCAACCUCAGCUUUCCCAGAUACCUGCCUGGGAGAGUUUGGGAAAAGAGGAGACCUUGGAGUCCGUGAAAGAAGAGGUUCUCACAGAACACAAGACAGAAACAUCAUAACUGCCACCGUCAAGGCAUCAAAGGCUUUUGCACACAAGAUCCAGUCAAAAUUAGACCCAUCUUUGGGUUCCUCAAGCUUUAGUUCAACUGAACCCCCCAAUCAGUUGAACUGUGCUAGCCCCAAUCUGCUUAGGCCAGGAGUAAGCUCUCCCUCCCGACCACUUUUAGGCAAUGGGGAUUAGACACAGGAUCUUCCAUAUGCCUUAAGCUAUAUAAACAUUCUACCACUCUGAUGGGGGAAGUCCUUCUGUGUAUAUGUUUCUCUUAUUGGUUGAUAAAUAAAGCACUGUUGGCCAAUAGGGAAGCAAGAUAGGCAGGACUAGGAGAGAAGGAGGAUUCUGGGAAAUGUAGUAAAGAAGGAGUUGCGAUGUGAUCCCAGGAAGAGAGGACGCAAGGCUGGCAUCCUCGAUAAGUCUUUAUAAAAUAUAUAAACUAGUAGUUAUGGUUGAUAAUUAAGACUGAGUUAGCAAAUAAGAAAUCCUAGUCAUUGGCCAGCAGUAUUGUAACUAAUAUAAGACUCUGUGUGUUAUUUGGGGGCCCUGACAUGGCAGUGGAACUCAGGCAACUGGUGGAAAGAGUUAUAGUUACACCACCCAGCCACAUUCCCAAUUCUUUUACACUUUAUUUAUUUAUUUUCAUAAGGUCUAUAGCCUUAAACUUUUCAUGUUCCUAAUUCUACCUCCCAUUUGCUGGAAUUAUGCAGAGACUGGACAACAAAUGAUACGCCUAUGUCUCUCAGGACUUGACAAUUAGC
rnacentral:lncRNA from 1 species